AUGUUAGUCAUAAACUCCACGAUCGAGCUGGUGACAGUCUGGGCGUCCUCCAGCCCGUCGCUCGUGGCCUUCUGCUUCUCCCAUGUCAUCAUCGCCGUCCUCCUCCUCGGCGGCCGCGGCUGCACACCUAGCUAUAAGGGCCGCGCCAAGGAGCGCGUCACGGGAGGUUCUGAAGCUCAGACGCCGUGUGCUGCUCAAAUACAAGGAGACGAAUGGAACAAUGGAGGACACGAUGGCGCCGUCACUGCCACUGCCAUGGGCGACAGGGACUGCGGCCGCGCAGAAGAAUGCUCCAUGGAAGCAGGCGAAGUUGACGCGGCCACCCAUCGGCCACGGCCAAGAGAAAAGAGUGGCGGACGUGACGACGUGUAUAUUGCUGCUGACGCGUCAUCGUCAGAGGAGGAGAAACGCGAGGACGAGGAGGACGAACUCAUGAUGAGAGCAGAAGAGUUAAUCCAGAGGAUGAACAGGGUGUGGAGGACG
rnacentral:rRNA from 1 species